AUGUCCUCACUCCCAGCCUCCCUACACAUUGUGUGUCCCAGCUGGGAUAGUAAAGCAUGCAGUCACCUCCCUCCUGGGCACCUACCACUGCCAGGCCCCAUUGCAAGACAGAUGUCACCCAGCCCUCCCCUCCAGCUCCCACCGUCCAGGGAGGGGAUGGCUGACAUGCGGUGGGAGGAGGUGGGCUGGACACAUCUCUGCGUGGCCCUCGAGGGCCACGCACAUCUGACGGGGAGAAAGGUGAGACUACAAGGGGCACUGCAGGCCAUCAGGGGGACAGAAGAGUCUCAGCGUUCGGGACAGUCAACCGCCUCGCCCUUCCCGACCCCGGGAGUGCAGUGGGAGCUGAGACUCCUCCCUGCAAAGCCUGAGAAAGCAGCAGCCGCCCCACGGCCCUUGGCUUUGGGAUGCUCGGGACUGGUCCUAGUAGACACACCUGGCCUCCCGCCCGCCCCGCUCCGCACUUGGAGUUGGCUCAGGCCAUUUCCUAAGCUUCACCUGGAAUCACCUGCCUCUCCUGCGCCAGAACUUGUCCGUCUGCCGAGCCAGAGGUUCCAGGUGGCCCAGAGCACUGUGCCAUUCACACCAGCCGGUCAAGGAGCCCUGCCCUCUGUCGUCCCAGAGCUGCCCGCAGCCCAUCGGGAGUCUGCACCAGCUGCCGCGGGGCUGGGGACCCGGGGAAGCAGAGCAGUCCCUCGGCCCAGCACCCCAGAGCGGCAGCCCUGGAGGAGGGAGCGGCAGGCUGGGGCCUGGUGACUCUGGAGCGAGUGGCUGCGGGAGGGAGAACUCGGGGAGCAAGCCAGGAAGAAGGAAACUGAGGCGCUCUCUCUGAAUAUUCAGCCUUCCCCACAUAACCUCUUGCUUCGGGAAAGCCAAACAGCUUCCAGAGACAAAGCCGGGGGUAUUGAAAGGGAGCGCAGCUGGGAAGCCGCGUGGAUUGGCCGGGUUUGGCCUCCUGCUGGUCCCAGGGCUAACACAGCCUGAGAUCUGAACUCUCAGGAAUGUCCCGCCUGACCCCGAGUCACAGACCAUAGCCCACACUGGGAUCCGGGCGGCACCAAACGGGACAUAAAGGGGCUUUUGGAAAUGACAGACUAGGAAGCAGCUUCAUUUAAGAAAUAUCUACAUGCGCAAGAAAGCGAAGAGCUCGCACUUGGCUACAAGCAGCCCCGGAGAGGGGUAAACCUCUCAGAGCCGAGUGCACCCCGUUUUCUUUGCCUGCCUGUCUCCUGCUACUCCUGGCUGCCUUGUGCUUCUUCGAUUCAUCUGAAGCCAGAAACCCAAUGGCCCAGUCCUUUUAGGAGCACCCCUUUGCAGAGCGGCUGGGAGACCCCGAGGGUGGUACCACCACCAAGGAAUGUCACGCAGCACAUUUUUAAGUAUUCUGAACAAACCCCCUCAUCAUCUCUCCUCUCUGCAUGGCUGAUCCUUGCAGACCUACCGGGCUGUGGGGCAGGGGUUUGAUUGUCCAUGCUGUGUGUCUGGGGCAUGGAAGCAGGCAAUGGAAUUAAACAGUGAAUAGCACACGUGGCCUCAGUGUGCAAAAAAGGGAACAAGUGUGUGAAGGUGUCCCUGCUUUGCUCCAGAAAACUGGGGGAUUCUACCCUGACUGGGUUUGGUUUCCAUGACAUGGAUGUCUCAUUUUAGAUGGCAGACACAGUCACCACGGGCAGAGUGCCCCCUCAUAGUGUGGCCCUGCAGAGGCCACAGCUAACCAGAGCCACAGCCCAGGCCAUGUGUCACUGCCCUGACAGGA
ensembl:lncRNA